GACGAUUAUCUGAAGAUUUUAUUUUAGAAAAUUUCAAUCUCUUUGAACCUUUCCACGAUGAUUAGAGGCUCGGAAAAAUGUGCUUCGGGGUUCUCAGCCAAACAUCAGAACACUAGUACGAAAUCAGUCUUCUUCACCUUGUUUUUUUUGCUUUUUGGUGGAGAUGGAAUAAUUCAUGCACAUUUGAGUUCUGAAACACACUCUGCAACAUGCUGGUUGGUACCAAAAGAAAGUUACAAGGUAUACGGCAGUAUUACUGCAAUCUUAUAAAAGCAUAACCAUGCAAUUUCAGAAAAGAAAUCCUUGGCAUUCUAACAAGGAACAUAUAAUCCUUCCUUCUCUAUACAUUCCCACAGAAAAAUACAUCGUAAAUUAAAUAGCAAUAAAAAUUAUGAAUAUCAAAUAAUGGCUACCGUAACACAGAAUCAUACAUAUAUCAACUAAGUACAGUUAUUAUGGAUUUGUCGUUGGACAAAAAAAUUAUCAGACAAGAAGACGUCGGACCAAAAGACAUGGAUGAAAAGACAUUUGACGAAGUGACGUCGGACGAAAAGACAUAGCACCAUCCUAUGGAUUACUUUGCAAAGGCUGGAGUAGUUUGAAUAGGAAAUGAUGUCCUAUUUGCCGGACAUUGCCCCAUCUGAUCAUCAUUUAUUCCGCAUUAUUGGACGGAAAAAAUAUGAAUUCUGUAGAUAAGGUCAGAACAGUACUGGAGGAGUAUCUUUGUCACAGAAAAGUGAAUUUUGGAAGAGGGGCCUUGCAAGUCUACGAGAUAGAUGGAAGAGCAUUUUAGAAAAUGAAGGAGAGUAUAUUUUGGAUUAAAAAAGAACUUUGUUUAUUUUAAUUUUGAAGAAUAAAAGAAGUAUAAAAAGUCACAUUAUUUAUGGGACGACCCAAUA